GACGAACGCUGGCGGCGUGCUUAACACAUGCAAGUCGAACGGAAAUGCCCUGCUGUGUGGUUGUACUCGAUUGGCGAACGGGUGAGUAACACGUGAGUAAACUGCCCGUUACCCUGGGAUAACGUCAGGAAACUCGGGCUAAUACCGGAUAUGAUAUCGUGCUACAUGGUGUGGGGUGGAAAGUUUGGGCGGUUGGGGAUGGAGUGUCUGGUUAUCAGCUUGUCGGUGGGGGAGUGGCUUACCAAGGCUUGGACGGGUAGCCGACCUGAGAGGGUGACCGGCCCCAUUGGGACUGAGGUACGGACCAGAAUGCUACGGGCGGCAGCAGUGGGGAGUCUUACACAAUGGGCGGGAGCGUGAUGCAGAGGUGCCGCGUGCGGGAUGCCGGCCUUCGGGUUGUGAACCACUUUCGCAGGUAACGAAGCGUGAGUGACGGUAAUGAGUAAAGAAGCAACGGCUAACUACGUG
rnacentral:rRNA from 1 species